AGCUUUGCGCAGUGGCAGUAUCGUAGCCAAUGAGGUUUAUCCGAGGCGCGAUUAUUGCUAAUUGAAAAACUAAUUUUACAUAGUGAGUUCAGGACCAACUUGCGGCCUGAACUGUAUAGCAAGACCCUGUCU
ensembl:snRNA U4 U4 spliceosomal RNA